CUACAUCUCUUUCUCCUCAAACUCAUGAUUCACCGUAGAUGAAAUCUGGAAAAGCUAUAUGAAUCAAACUUGAGAAAUCGAGAAAAGGGUCCUUUGGUUAUCUUCACUAGGCUAAGGUUGCUUUAGUUCAAGACUUCAAGGGUUCGUUUUUGCUGUGACUUGUGAGCGUUUGUGCUGUGAGUCUGUGAGCGUUCAAGUCUUCAAAUAACAAGAAGAUGGAGAAAUGGGUUGAUUUGAGAUUAAAGGAGGAUGAUGAAGUUGGUUUCUAUCAUUUUUUUAUGGUUUGUAGUUUUUUUAUGAAGCAAACUUUAUGUACUUUCAGA